ensembl:lncRNA
GCUCAGAGCACUGAUGGACCGGAGGAGGAUGGAUGCUGCUGGAGGCCGCGUGGUACACCGGGACAGGCGCACGAGUAAGCUCGCUGUGGUCGUCGCCGUGCAGAACGUGCUGUUGACUGCGUGCCUGGUGGUCACGAUAUACCUUUGCUGGGGCGUUCAGAGUCAAACACCAAGAGCAGAGCAGGCCUCUGAAGAUAAUGUACACAUACAGUUUUACACCGUUCCAGUUCUCUCAGGAAACAUGACACUGCAGUUUGGUAGAGUUAAAAGCAACAAUAUGAUGAAUCUGGCUGUCGAGAAGAAAGACAAGAUCUACGUCAACUGCACUGGACCCUAUGUUUUGUAUAUGGACGUGUGUUACAAUAGCAUUGACGAAGAGGAGGCCAAAGGCAUCCUGCAGCUGCAGGUGGUGGGGAGAGACACUCCUGUCAGCUCAUUCUCCCUGCAGACCUCACGUGAGAUCUGUAAGGGGGCUCCACAGUAUAGCCUACCUCAGGAAAAAGGAGGAAGCCAGUCUGCACUUGUACUCCUUAGAUAGGUUCAUGUUUAAGAAUGUGACAGUGGGCCUGAGCUAUCUGCUGGGGAGCCGGAGCCGGUGUGAAUUCUGAUGAGGGCAGAUAAUCGCCUGCUGAAGAAAAAGACAUGAAGAUCAGAUCCGACUGGAACGAGGAAGGGAGCUCUGCACUCGUGUUCAUCUGCCGCCGUGAGAACAGGCACACUAAGCAGGACUCACACUGACGGCAUGACUUGUGUUAAUACCUCAAACAACGGAGCUUUGCUUCUGGUAGUUUGACUGUCAGCAAGAAAUCUCAACAACUUGUGAAUCUGGUGGUGGCGAUUCACAAUUCUUAUUUUGCAGAUAUGAAAUAGCUAAAAUAACUAAACCAAGAAAAAUAACUACCACGUAAGAAGCUCCCCCUUUUUUGUGCUCAAGGCCUAAUUUGGCAUCUGUUCUUCAACCCUUUUGAUGAGGGCUGCACUUGAACCUUUCUUAUCGGUUCAUUUAAUUAAUCGUUUGAUUUGUAAAACAUCGGAUGAUAGUGAAAAAUACUCAUCGCCGUUCCCUCGAGCCCAAGUCGACAUAUUAAAAUAUCCAAGUGUAAUAUAAGAUGAGGGAAAAAAGAAUGUCAUCACACUUAAAAAAAAGCUGGAACCAUCAAAUGUUAAAUGUUAAAAUGUUUAUCAAUUAUCAAAAUAGUUCUAAUCCUUGUCUCUUUUAAAAGGUAGCUCCUUGAAGUUUGCUAUCAAAAAGUCUGAGUGGUACUAAACCACAUUUACAGAGGCAACUUAUAAGCACUCCUGCUGCAAAAUGAGCAACUGUAAAAGUGUUUUACACAGAUAAAAGGGUUAAGAAGCAGUUUUGCACUCAGGUGCCUUCUAGUUUUAAUACAUACCGUAUACUUAUAGCUAAUAUACCAUUAUUUUUACUUUAUUUGUGCAGUACCGAAUGAAUGUAUUUGUUAAUGGGGUAUUCAUUCUCCUGUGAAGCUCCAAUCUGAGUCUCAUAAACUUUCUGUGUGCUGUGUGGCUCCCGAACAUUUGCUCUAACUGUGUGUAACUCGGUUGGAUCGCCAGACUGGUGGAGUUAACCCCAACUAUGCCGGUGUCACGGACAUGUUUACCGCCAAUGCACUGAAUGUAUCUGUAUAAUAUAUAUAAUCAUUAUACUAAUCAACAUUAUAAUCGCUAUAAUGUUUGUGACAAGUUUGUGUUUUUGAUCAUGCUUAAGAGUUAUAAAGCAAGAACCGAGUUUUUGAAUGUGGUGUGGGUGGUGGUGAGUUCAAUACCAGGGUUGCCAACAUUGUACCCCUGAGCAAGGUGCUCCAGGGGGACUAUCCCUGUAGUUUGUUCACUGUAAGUCGCUCUGGAGCGUCAGCUAAAUGACCAGUAAUGAAUGUUCCUUGUAUAUAUAUGGUAUUAGUGAAGCUAUGAUAUUUUCAAUGAAAAGCUGUAUUGUAAUAACGAUGAAUAAUACUUUUUAUGUAUGCUGUAAGAUUGUACUAUACUCUUUAAACCUUAAUAGCGGCCUGUUUACCAGCUAUUUACCAGUGUCAUUGUUUAAAUUGGUUGAGUUUGAUCUCUUCUAUAUUUUAGAAUCAAAUAAUUUUAUCAGAGAUAAUGUGUUUAAAAACUUUUAGAUUUUUCAAAAACCCAAUGAGAGAUAAACAUCAGUGAUGUUUUAAAACGGUUACCACAGUUUCAUAUGAAUCUGAAAUAAUGAUUUGAUAUGAGUAUGCCACUGUAUAAUUACUCCCAGGGGAUACACUGUGUAGCUACCUCAUAUAGGCUUUGACACAAAUGACCUGUUGGAAUGAAACUUUAAUAAAAUAAGUUUCCAUGCGGCAAUAAGCUUCUCUUCUUUGUUUUCACUGUCCUGUCGUCUC